UACGGGGGGAGCAAGCGUUGUUCGGAUUUACUGGGCGUAAAGGGCGCGUAGGCGGUCAGCACAAGUCAGUUGUGAAAUCUCCGGGCUUAACUCGGAAAGGUCAAGUGAUACUGUCGGACUAGAGUACAGAAGGGGCAACUGGAAUUCUCGGUGUAGCGGUGAAAUGCGUAGAUAUCGAGAGGAACACCUGCGGCGAAGGCGGGUUGCUGGGCUGAUACUGACGCUGAGGCGCGAAAGCUAGGGGAGCGAACGGG
rnacentral:rRNA from 1 species